rnacentral:rRNA from 1 species
ACGGCUCAGUAACACGUGGACAACCUACCCUAAGGAGGGGGAUAACCCCGGGAAACUGGGGAUAAUACCCCAUAGACUAGAGAAGCUGGAAUGCUCUCAAGUCCAAAGGUCCGCCGCCUUAGGAUGGGUCUGCGGUCGAUUAGGUUGUUGUUGGGGUAACGGCCCAACAAGCCCGUGAUCGAUACGGGCUGUGAGAGCAAGAGCCCGGAGAUGGAUUCUGAGACACGAAUCCAGGCCCUACGGGGCGCAGCAGGCGCGAAAACUUUACAAUGCGGGAAACCGUGAUAAGGGAACCCCGAGUGCCCGUAAAUUCGGGCUGUCCAUCAGCGUAAAUAACUGGUGAAGAAAGGGCCGGGCAAGACCGGUGCCAGCCGCCGCGGUAAUACCGGCGGCUCGAGUGGUGGCCACUAUUAUUGGGCUUAAAGCGUCCGUAGCUUGGUUGUUAAGUCUCUUGGGAAAUCUACCGGCUCAACCGGUAGGCGUUCAGGAGAUACUGGCAAUCUAGGGACCGGGAGAGGUGAGAGGUACUCCAGGGGUAGGAGUGAAAUCCUGUAAUCCUUGGGGGACCACCUGUGGCGAAGGCGUCUCACUAGAACGGCUCCGACAGUGAGGGACGAAAGCUGGGGGAGCAAACCGGAUUAAAUACCCGGGUAGUCCCAGCUGUAAACGAUGCGCGUUAGGUGUAUCGGUGACCACGAGUCACCGAGGUGCCGAAGGGAAACCGUGAAACGUGCCGCCUGGGAAGUACGGUCGCAAGGCUGAAACUUAAAGGAAUUGGCGGGGGAGCAC